rnacentral:rRNA from 1 species
GACGAACGCUGGCGGCGCGCCUAACACAUGCAAGUCGAACGAGCGAAGAGGAGCUUGCUUCUCUGAGCGAGUGGCGAACGGGUGAGUAACGCGUGAGGAACCUGCCUCAAAGAGGGGGACAACAGUUGGAAACGACUGCUAAUACCGCAUAAGCCCACGGGUCGGCAUCGACCAGAGGGAAAAGGAGCAAUCCGCUUUGAGAUGGCCUCGCGUCCGAUUAGCUAGUUGGUGAGGUAAUGGCCCACCAAGGCGACGAUCGGUAGCCGGACUGAGAGGUUGAACGGCCACAUUGGGACUGAGACACGGCCCAGACUCCUACGGGAGGCAGCAGUGGGGAAUAUUGCACAAUGGGGGAAACCCUGAUGCAGCGACGCCGCGUGAGUGAUGAAGUAUUUCGGUAUGUAAAAACUCUAUCAGCAGGGAAGAUAAUGACGGUACCUGACUAAGAAGCACCGGCUAAAUACGUG